rnacentral:tRNA from 1 species
GGCGGGGUAGGGACGCGACGGGCCUCUUGGCAUAUUGGGUUCGGCCGUCGCCAGUUCGAUCCUGGCCCCCGCUACCA